GUUGUGGUGUGUUUGGCUUGCCAUACUUUUGUAAUUUCGACGCCCGGUUGUGUCCCGUCAAUCGUCAAAAUGGCUGCUGCGGUAUGGCGCUCGAGUUGGCUGGCCGACAGACAAGCAUACGGAAGACCUACCUGUCGCCGACGAACCUAAGAAAUGAAAUGGAGUGGAUAUGUUUGCUUGUAUGGGAAACCUGCAGUAUGCUAAUGGUUUGCAUGUGGACCCACAUCACCUCAGCUGGGAUUACAGCUGAAUGAGCUGACCGCUUACCUGUAUAGCUUUCCUGGAAGCUCGACAUGUAUGUCAGCGGACUUGAGACGCAGAGUGGAGUUGACUGUGACAACGGGGUUCAAGUUUGGUUAAGAACGGUUGCAGAAAGCGGUGCCAAAUGUGGACAAAAUGGUCAGUAAAUUCUUGUGAGAAACCGCUUUGAGGUUCCUGCAAGUGCUGCAUUCAGAUGCGUGAUGUGCAUGCACGUGAAGGGAAGUUCGAUUUGCCAACUGGUCAUUGCUUCAUGGGACGCUAGUCAUGUCACCCUCAAUAGAAAAACAACCACACAAGGACAUCAAAACAUGCAAAACACAAGGAGGCCCAUAAAUCCUGCUGAAAGCUGGGAACAUUUCCAUUCUCCUCGACCGCUCUUGCUCGAAUGUUGCAGGAAUCCAACUCGAACCUUGUCGCCUGGUCAACUUCUCUCUGCCUCUCAAAUCCGCUGACGUACAUGGUGAGCCACUGGACAAACUGAAAACAGCAGGAGAGCUGUCCACACGGAGGUAAGCGGUCAGCUGUUUAGCGUAAAAAGGAACGGCGUCAUACCCCCCUGUAGCAUUCGUUUUGAAGAC
rnacentral:lncRNA from 1 species